CUCGGGGUUAUGGUGGCUGCCUUUCUGAGGGGCACAAUAGAAUGUGUCCAGGCUUUUCUGUAAAAUAAGCUUUGAAGAGAUCAAACUUGGCAAUGGGCACUUGUGACUGCUGCUUGGUUAAAUAAGAUCUCUGAAGAUAACAUUCUUUAAUCGCCAAAGAUGAGAGCUGUUGCAGUGCUAGAGGAGGUGCUGCUGUCCAUUGAGAAUGAGCUGCAAGCAGUGGAGAUGCAGAUCCAGGAGCUUGUGGAUAAGCAGCAGGAGCUCCUUCAAAAGAAGAUGAGAGUGAAGAAUCUGAUAAAACAGUCCUCAGGAGACUUGGAGGCAGGUGGAAGUAAAGACACUGAAACCUCAGCUGAGGAAUGGAACAAAAAAGGUUUGCAGAGUCAAAGUCUAAUAUUUUAAAAGAAAGGUGAACUAAUCCAGUAGGGGAAAAUGCACUUAUACAGAGUUUUGUUCGGAUAAUGAUAUUGUCCCAUUUAAUUUUAAUCAGAUGGCUGACAUGCCAGCGUAAUGGGGUAAUGUUUGUACUUGUCUCACUGGACAUUCCUAAACACUAAUCUUGAGUU